ACACAUGCGUUAAGCACAGAGCGAACUAUUCUUUCUCUUUUUACUAAAGAAUACAGUGUGCGCGGCGCUUUAAGUGGCAUAUGCUUAUUUUUGAAAUGGUGCAUCUCUGUGGAUGCC